GAUUAGAUACCCUAGUAUGGAUAAAUUAAAAUGAUUAUUAUAGAUAAAGAAAUUUAAAAAUUUUGGCGGUUAAAUAUUGAUUAGAGGAGCUUGUUGUAGAAUUUGCUCUUUAUAUUUUAUUAGUUUUUGUUUAUUUAUCUCCGUUAUUAGAUAUUAAUUUUAUAAGAAAAUAACUUAAAUUUCAGGUCAAGAUGUAGCUUAAAUUAAGAUUAAUUAGCUACAUUUAUGUUAUACUGUGAAUUUAUACUUAAUAGAAAUAGUUAAUGAAAUUGAAUUUAAUUGUAAUAUUAUUUAUAGGGGUAGUAUGAAGGUUCAUAUUUAAUGUUCAUAUUGCCCGUCACUUCUUUUGGUUAAAUAGAAUAAGUCGUAACAAA
rnacentral:rRNA from 1 species